rnacentral:lncRNA from 1 species
GCGGCAGCCAGGGCUUCUGGCACGUCGGGCGCCAGCACUGUCGCUUGUGGCCACGGCCCGCGGAGCUUCAGUCCCUUGAGCUCCUCCUCCAGAGCAGGGCCGAGGGUCUCGCCCCAGCCCGACUGGCUGUGCCUGCAGAUGAUGCUGGUCACGCAGCUGUGCAGCACAGCUGUUAGGACCAAAUUCAUCUUCCCCGCAAGGACGAGUCAGGCCCAGUGUUGCACUGGUCCUGCUGUCUGGCUUCUGCUGCGGAACUUCCUCACCUUCCAGGCAGGGCCCAGGAGCCACAGGAGCGUGGGCAGGGCAGGGUCUGCCCUCUGUGCUUCCGACUCGCCGCUUGCGAGCUGGAGGGACAGUCACCUCGACCUGGUGGGCUGGGUGGGUCUGGCUGUGCUGUGGGCUGUGCCUCACUCCUGCAAGUGGGCACUCAGCGGGGUUGGGGUCACGAGGCUGAGGUCGGCUUAAAGCAGGAGUGGGCAGUUGGCACAUCAUGUUUCUCCUGCAUCAGGGCUGUGGCAGGAAUGCCGGGUGACUACCGUAGACACUUGUCAAGGUUGAGGUUCAGAGAAAGGUGUGGGGUAUCCCGGAGGUCACCACAGUGUGCCAGGAGGUUCAGGUUGGCCUUCCAGAGCCCGGCCUGUGUGAAAUCCCCACGAGCACAGAGGACAGAACGAAACAUGGUGUUGUUUUGAAACAGGGUGUUACUGUGUCACCCAGGCUGGAGUAGAGUGGUGCCACAUUUUUUGUAGAGACGGGGUGUCCCUGUGUAGCCCAGGCUGGUCUUGAACUCCUGGGUACAAGCAGUCCUCCCUCGUGGGCCUCCCAAAGUGCUGGGAUUACAGGCGUGGGCUCCCGUGACCAGCCUGGAACGUGCUGAUGAGCCUCUUUUUCUCCUGAAACCCCGGUGGGAACAGAUGGUGGAUGCUUCCAAAAGCAUCGAAGCUGUCCAUGAGGACAUCCGCGUGCUCUCUGAGGACGCCAUCCGCACUGCCACAGAGAAGCCGCUGGGGGAGCUAUGGAAGUGACCCAAGGCUGCCCACUGGAGACGCCUCUCCCUGCAGUCCCCCGAGAGGUGGGAGACUCGCGGAAGGCCCCGUCCCCAGCAGAGUCCAGACCCCACAACUUCAGGAGCUCUUUCCCGGCAGCAGAGAUCUGCAGGCUGCCUCUUCUGCCCCGGAGCUGGGGUGCACUGGGGACCCCCGUGGUGGGGACCUUGGCAGUGUGGACAUGAGCAGAGCGAUGGAGCAGUCUCCUGCCCUCUCCCCUGUCCUGAUGGCACUCUGUUGUAUUUUCUUACUGAAGUUCAGUGAUAACUCUGAGCAGUUUCAUUGUGAUCACUGUAAAUGGUAAUCAGUUGGAAUUCUCCUAAAUGUCUUCCAGACACUAGUAAAAAACGACCUGAAAAUUGUUUGUGGAACGCUUCACUUUUCUUAGACUGAGGACGGAGCUGGCUUUGAAUGGGAACCUCCAUCCCAGGAGAGAAGAGCCUUCAUUGGGCCCAGUAGGGCCUUCCUGGACCCUGGUUCCUGCCUAGUUGAGGGAGUCCCACUGUGGGUCUGAACAGUUGCAGCCAUGCCCUGGGCUCGCUGGGUCCAGCCAGGCUAUAUCCGAGUGUCAUCACAGCUUACGUCCUGAACUCACCUAAGUUAACUCUGCUAUUUUCAUUGCAACCCUGGAGCUUAACUUCUCAUCCUAUCCUUUAUUUUUUAUUUUUUUGGAAACAGGGUCUCACUGUCGCCCAGGCUGGAGUGCAGUGGCACGAUCGUGGCUCACUGCAGCCUUGACCUCCUGGGCUCAGGUGAUCCUCCUACUUCAGCCUCCUGAGUAGCUAGGCCUACAGGCCUUCACUGUGCCUGGGUAAUUUUUUUGUGGAGACAGGAUUUCGCUAUGUUGCCAGCCAGGCUUGUCUUAAACUCCUGGGCUCAAGUGAUCUACCUGCCUUGGCCUCCCCAAAGUGCUGGGAGUACAGGCAUGAGCCACCAUGCCGAGCCCAUUGCAUCCCCUUUUAAGUGACACUUAGAAGGAAUGAUUUGACACUCCUGGCAGAAUCUGUCCCACAGAGCACACUCCGCAUAGACAGCAGCAUACAGUGUGCUGGAGUAGAAGGCAGGCAGGGUCCCCCAUCUGUGGGGGCAGCAGCUGUGGGUCUCAGCACCCUUCUGUGGCCAAGAGACAAACCCAGGCAAAACAAAAGGAUUUCACUCUUGGGUAAGCAUUGCCAGGGGCUGUGGGAUGGGCCUGGGUGAGGAACCUUCAGAUGAGACUUUCCUGGACUAUCCAGGUGGGCCCAGUGUCAUCACAGGGGCCUUUUUUUGUUGUCUUAAGACUGGGUCUCACUCUGUCAUCCAGGCUGGAGUGCAGUGGUGCAAUCUUGACUCACUGCAGCCUCUCUUUCCUGGGCUCAAGUGAUCCACCUUAGCCUCCCAAAGUGCUGGGAUUACAGGCUGGCGCCACCAUGCCUGGCCCAUCACGGGUCCGCAUAACAGGGAGGCAGGCGGUCCGAGUCAGGAAAUGAGAUGCCAACAGCAAAAGCUGGAGAGAUGCCAUGUUGCUGGCUGUGUGGUUGGAGGAAAGAGCCAUGAGCCAAGCAGUUUCUGGCAUCCAGAAGCUAGAAAGGCACAGCAACGUUCUCCCCUAGAGCCCACAGCACGAUAUGGCUGUCUGCCCUCCGGGUCUGGAAGAGGCUGUGCUGUUCCAGGCACUGAAUGUGAUCAUCUUUUAGAGCAGCCACAAGAAGCGAAUACGAGCAUCGGAGAGGCCACAAGUCCUCAGCCACCUCACCGGGGACCCAGCAGGGCCCCCUCCGAUCUGGCUUUGGGCCCUUCACACCUAUACCAGGGCUGCCCACAGGGAUGCACUGGCCAGAGUGAGCAAUGUCCUCACCAAGCCCCCUGCUGUGCCCCAGGCAUGGCCUCCCACAGGCCAGGACAGUCACUGCGCACUUGGGGAAGGCUUUGCUAUGAUUCAAAUCGAGGCAAACCCUGCAACUCCAGGCACUUCCUGUGACUUCCUCCUGCUGAAGAUGGGAACCGCCAUUUUACUUUCCUAAAAUCCUAUUUUCCUUGCACUUUUUCCUUCUAGGGUUGUAUGAGGUGGCUGAUGCCACGGCUGGUAGAGAGCCAGGCUGCAGGCAGGACAGGCCCCCUGCCAGGGCUGGGGACACACCUGCUCAGGGCCCCACAGCCCGCCACGCAGGCAGCCACAUCCUUUACGUGUGAACGGGCUGAAACAUUCACUUAUUUUUUUUCUGGAACUCACAUUCAAUUAGAACUUAAGGAAAAAAUAGACACAAGGUUUGUUUUCUACUGAAACUUAUUAUUUGCCAUUAAGAAUUGCAAACUAUACUACUAAGAAUGAACAACAUUCUCUUCAUUAAGCCUUUUUCAAAACACACGAGACAAAGCUCCCCUUUGGUCAAGGUGUCCCACACAUUACCACUGCAGCUCCCAGCACAGCGGCGCACCAUGAACUCGGACGUGGAGCCCAAGGAAUGGAGAUCGCACCAGCCUUCCCUGCUUCCCCACCCCAACUACACCCAAGGGAGAAAGGAUACGAGGAAAUACACUAUGUCUUCAAUGCUUGGGGGGCUGGGGGUGUCCUCUGCUACCAGGUGGGCCGGUCAGUGCCGACUGUCCGGCGCGCGUCCUCGGGGAUCUCUGGCUCCCCGACCUACACAAGCAGCAGCAGCAGCAGCGAGUCCUGCCAACGCCGCAGUAGCUGCUCAUGAGAAAAGUGCCCACGCUCCCCAAGCCCUCCUGUUUACAUUUCCUAGUGGGGCAAAGAUACUUUCCCAGGACAGGCAGCAGAGCAGCGGGGCAGAGUGCACUCUGGGACCCGGGACAGCAGGUUACACAGGGUCAGGCGGUGGUGGGACUGUGAAUAAAUAAAGUCCAAGUUUACAUUCUCUCCUGCCUUUUUAUAUAUAUGUUACUUGUUUCUGCACAUGAUUACAAAAACUGAAUUAGGAUGAAUUAAGGUCCAUGCCUUUUUUUUAUUCUUUUGUGAUGGAGUCUCACUCUGUUGCCCAGGCUGAAGUGCAGUGGCAUGAUCUUGGCUCCCUGCAACCUCCACCUUCCGGGUUCAAGAAAUUCUCCUGCCUCAUCCUCCCGAGUAGCUGGGAUUACAGACAUCUGCCCCUCCCAAAGUGCUGGGAUUACAGGCGUGAGCCACAGCAUCCGGCCCACUCCUAUCUUUUUAAAGAGCUGAAAAACAUCAUGAUGUCCCUGCUACCUCUCUAAAGCCACUCCUGAAUCUUCAGAAGUCCCUACUAUUCUUUGACCUGUAGGCUUUAUUCAAUAUAUAGACUAAAAUCCAGAAAACUUAUUCUCAAGGAAAAAGGAUGAAAACACCACCGGUCUAAUUUCUUUUCUUUUUUUUUUUUUUUUUUUUUGAGACGGAGUCUCACUCUGUCGCCCACCAGGCUGGAGUGCAGUAGCGCGAUCUCGGCUCACUGCAAGCUCUGCCUCCCGGCUCAUGCCAUUCUCCUGCCUCAGCCUCCUGAGUAGCUGGGACUACAAGCGCCCGCCACCACGCCUGGCUAAUUUUUUGUAUUUUUUUUAGUAGAGACGGGGUUUCACUGUGUUAGCCAGGAUGGUCUCAUAGGUCAAAAAUGCACUGAGGCCAGGCACAGGGGCUCAUGCCUGUAAUCCCAGCACUUGGGGAGGCCAAGGCGGGUGGAUCACCUGAGGUCAGGAGUUGGAGACCAGCCUGGUCAACAUGGUGAAAUCCCAUCUCUAUUAAAAACACAAAAAGUUACUCGGGCAUGGUGGCAGGUGCCUGUAAUCCCAGCUACUCGGGAGGCUGAGGCAGGAGAAUUGCUUAAACCCAGGAGGCGGAGGCUGCAGUGACCUGAGAUCGCGCCACUGCAUUCCAGCCCAGGUGGGAGAGUGAAACUCUGUCUCAAAAAAAAAAAAAAAAAAAGCAUUGAAUACACGUAAUCUACCUAACAUCAUAGCUUAGCCUAGCCUGCCUUAAAUGUGCUCAGAACACUUACAUUAGCCUACAGUUGGGCAAACUCAGCUGGCAACACAGUGCCCUGUAGAGCAGGGGUCAUUCCCCCUUCUCAUGAUGUGGCUGACGAGGAGCUAUCUGGCAUCUCGAGAGUAUCUGGAGGCAUACUGCUAGCCCAGAAAAAGAUCAAAAUUCAAAACGUCAAGUAUGGUUUCCAUAGAAUGCAUACUGCUUUCACACUAUCGUAAAGUCAAAAAAUUGUAAGUCAAACCAUGGUAGUUUGGAGACCAUCUGUACUUCAGAAGAAUGUGGCGUAUGUCAUCAGGAAAAGGACCAUAUUGUUGAAUCAGUAACAGUCUGCAGUAACAGAAUCUGGAAGCUGAGAAACUUCUAGGAUGUCUAGUUUCCCAUAUUAAAAAUAUAAAUGGUAAAGGAAUGAGAGAAGUAUAGAUAAGGAAGAAAAGGAAAAA